CACCAGAACUCCUAUCUUCGUGGACUAGUGCUUUUAUUAAACCAAGACCAAUCGGGCUUCGGCUCGACACCCAUGGCGACUCUGGAUAACUUUGGGCUGAUCGCACGAUCUUGUAUCGGCGACGUUUCUUUAUAAGUGUCUGCCUUAUCAACUGUCGAUGGUAGGUUAUGCGCCUACCAUGGUCGUAACGGGUGACGGGGAAUCAGUUUUCGAUUCCGGAGAGGGAGCCUGAGAAACGGCUACCACAUCCAAGGAAGGCAGCAGGCGCGCAAAUUACCCACUCCCGGCAAGGGGAGGUAGUGACGAAAAAUAACGAUGCGGGACUCUUUUGAGGCCCCGCAAUCGGAAUGAGUACACUCUAAAUCCUUAACGAAACUUAAAAAGGAAAUUGACGGGAAGGGCACCAUCAGGAGUGGAGCCUGCGGCUUAAUUUUGACUCAACACGGGAAAAACUUACCCGGCCCGGACACCGGAAGGAUUGACAGAUUAAGAGCUCUUUCUUGAUUCGGUGGGUGGUGGUGCAUGGCCGUUCUUAGUUGGUGGAGCGAUUUGUCUGGUUAAUUCCGAUAACGAACGAGACUCUAGCCUACUUAAUAGAGAACCGAUUUCCUCUCGUCGGUUACUCUUCUUAGAGGGACAAGCGGCGUUUAGCCGCACGAGACAGAGCAAUAACAGGUCUGUGAUGCCCUUAGAUGUCCGGGGCCGCACGCGCGCUACACUGAAGGAAUCAGCGUGUGUUCACCCUGGCCGAAAGGUCUGGGUAACCCGUUGAACCUCCUUCGUGAUAGGGAUAGGGGCUUGUAACUAUUCCCCUUGAACGAGGAAUUCCCAGUAAGCGCGAGUCAUAAGCUCGCGUUGAUUACGUCCCUGCCCUUUGUACACACCGCCCGUCGCUACUACCGAUUGAAUGAUUUAGUGAGGUCUUCGGACUGGUGCUCGGGAGCGGCCCUCGGGUCGCGCCGGCGUACCGGAAAAGAUGACCAAACUUGAUCAUUUAGAGGAAGUAAAAGUCGUAACAAGGUUUCCGUAGGUGAACCUGCGGGA
rnacentral:rRNA from 2 species